rnacentral:rRNA from 1 species
CGGCGAGUGAAGCGGCAACAGCUCAAAUUUGAAAUCUGGCUCCUUCGGGGUCCGAGUUGUAAUUUGUAGAGGGUGCUUUGGCGUUGGUUGUGGUCUAAGUUCCUUGGAACAGGACGUCACAGAGGGUGAGAAUCCCGUACGUGGCCGCCAGCCUUCGCCGUGUAAAGCCCCUUCGAUGAGUCGAGUUGUUUGGGAAUGCAGCUCUAAAUGGGAGGUAAAUUUCUUUUAAAGCUAAAUAUUUGCCAGAGACCGAUAGCGCACAAGUAGAGUGAUCGAAAGAUGAAAAGCACUUUGGAAAGAGAGUCAAAAAGCACGUGAAAUUGUUGAAAGGGAAGCGCUUGCAGCUAGACGUGCCUUGGGUUGAUCAGCCGGACUUUUGCCCGGUGCACUCUUCCCUUGGCAGGCCAGCAUCAGUUUGGGCGGCUGGAUAAAGGUCUGUUAAACGUGACUUCCUUCGGGGAGAGCUUAUAGGGCAGACGACAUGCAGCCAGCCUGAACUGAGGUCCGCGCAUCUGCUAGGAUGCUGGCAUAAUAGCUGUAAGCGGCCCGUCUUGAAACACGGACCAAGGAGUCUAACAUCUAUGCGAGUGUUUGGGUGUCAAGCCCGAGCGCGUAAUGAAAGUAAACGGAGGUGGGAACCUUUUAGGUGCACCAUCGACCGAUCCUGAUGUCUUCGGAUGGAUUUGAGUAAGAGCAUAGCUGUUGGGACCCGAAAGAUGGUGAACUAUGCCUGAAUAGGGUGAAGCCAGAGGAAACUCUGGUGGAGGCUCGCAGCGGUUCUGACGUGCAAAUCGAUCGUCAAAUUUGGGCAUAGGGGCGAAAGACUAAUCGAAC